rnacentral:lncRNA from 1 species
AAGCGAGAACUUCCAGAGCAUUCUCUUACUUGCUACUAUUAUCUCUCCUUCUCCUCCAAUCUCCUCUGACUUGAUCGUCGGAGGGCCCCCACUGCCCCAGUGGUGGUGCGAGGCUUGCUUGCAGGUUUCCCGGUGGAAGGUGGAGCGCAAUCAACACCAACCAAGGCAACUCAAACGGAACCCCGUUCACACCGCUGUGCCAAUCGUUCUCGGUUUGGACCACCAGCAACAAGU